rnacentral:rRNA from 1 species
UACGGAGGGUGCAAGCGUUAUCCGGAUUCACUGGGUUUAAAGGGUGCGUAGGUGGGCAGGUAAGUCAGUGGUGAAAUCUCCGGGCUUAACCCGGAAACUGCUAUUGAUACUAUCUGUCUUGAAUACCGUGGAGGUCAGCGGAAUAUGUCAUGUAGCGGUGAAAUGCUUAGAUAUGACAUAGAACACCAAUUGCGAAGGCAGCUGGCUACACGAAUAUUGACACUGAUGCACGAAAGCGUGGGGAUCAAACAGG